rnacentral:rRNA from 1 species
UACGUAGGGGGCAAGCGUUGUCCGGAAUUAUUGGGCGUAAAGAGCGUGUAGGCGGCCAGGUAGGUCUGGUGUGAAAACUCGAGGCUUAACCUCGAGAUGUCAUCGGAAACCAUCUGGCUAGAGUCCGGAAGAGGAGAGUGGAAUUCCUGGUGUAGCGGUGAAAUGCGCAGAUAUCAGGAAGAACACCAAUGGCGAAAGCAGCUCUCUGGGACGGUACUGACGCUGAGGAGCGAAAGCGUGGGGAGCGAACAGG